UACGUAGGCAGCGAGCGUUGUUCGGAAUUACUGGGCGUAAAGAGUGUGUAGGCGGAGUUCCCAGUCUGUUGUGAAAUCUCCCGGCUUAACUGGGAGGGUGCAGCGGAAACUAGAAUGCUAGAGGGUGGGAGAGGUAAGCGGAAUUCCUGGUGUAGCGGUGAAAUGCGUAGAUAUCAGGAGGAACACCUGUGGUGUAGACAGCUUACUGGACCACUUCUGACGCCGAGACGCGAAAGCGUGGGGAGCGAACAGG
rnacentral:rRNA from 1 species